CCAACAUAAUUCCAUAGGAACCUUGUCAUUUCAGAGGCCCCGGCUAGAAUGCAAGUAAUUUUAUCUUAUACUCAUAGUCAUUGGUUAAAUUUCCAAUGGCAGUACAAUCAAUACUCAUACAAUAAUACCGCAGACUUAAGAACAAGAUUACACAUGGUGGGCAACGGGCUAGCAUUCAGUUGAUUUCCCCCCUUCUCUCUUGGUAGAUAUGUAGAAGCAGAUCAAUGCAAAUGGAACAUCACUUGAGGACGUACUUCAUGACACCAGGGAUGUGGACCUUGAAGAAGUAAUCGUCCCAGUCAACGGUCUUGGGGUCAAAGUUGAAUAGCCCGCCGGCGGUAUCGGCAUGGUCGCCAUCAGCCAUGGUGAUCCUGAGCUUGUUGAGGUUUACAUCGUCGAAGCAACCCUUGAAGAGCGAGAAGGGCCCGUACAAGUCGACCAGCUGCAUCACGAACCUGCACGACACACGUUCUUUAAGCCACCGGUUGAACAUCGAGACCAUACAACUGCAAAGAGAAUUCGAAAGACCAUACCUGUACUUGCGGGCGAGGUCAUGAUAGAGGGCGGCAAGACCGAAGAGGCCACAACAGAGGAUAGAGAGCAGGCGAAGGAGCUCGAGGGGGACACGAUACUUGAGCACCAUGAAGAGG
rnacentral:lncRNA from 1 species